rnacentral:rRNA from 1 species
AACGAACGCUGGCGGCAGGCCUAACACAUGCAAGUCGAGCGAAGCCUUCGGGCUUAGCGGCGGACGGGUUAGUAACGCGUGGGAACGUGCCCUUCACUACGGAAUAGCCUCGGGAAACUGAGAGUAAUACCGUAUACGCCCUUCGGGGGAAAGAAUUUCGGUGAAGGAUCGGCCCGCGUUAGAUUAGGUAGUUGGUGGGGUAAUGGCCUACCAAGCCUACGAUCUAUAGCUGGUUUGAGAGGAUGAUCAGCAACACUGGGACUGAGACACGGCCCAGACUCCUACGGGAGGCAGCAGUGGGGAAUCUUCGGCAAUGGGGGCAACCCUGACCGAGCCAUGCCGCGUGAGUGAUGAAGGCCUUAGGGUCGUAAAGCUCUUUCGCCAGGGAUGAUAAUGACAGUACCUGGUAAAGAACCCCGGCUAACUCCGUGCCCAGCAGCCGCGGUAA